GUGGCUGUAUUCUAUAAAGAAAAAUAACCUGGAAAGGUUAACCAAAGUGGGUGAUAGUCCCGUAUUUAUAGAUAUAGAAUACAGUCCUCGAGUAAGGCGGGACACGUGAAAUCCUGUUUGAAUAUGGGGGGACCAUCCUCCAAGGCUAAAUACUCACAUACGACCGAUAGUGCACAAGUACCGUGAGGGAAAGGUGAAAAGAACCCAGAGAUGGGAGUGAAAUAGAUCUGAAACCUGAUGCUUACAAGCAGUCGGAGCUCGCAAGAGUGACGGCGUACCUUUUGUAUAAUGGGCCAGCGAGUUAGUGUAAUAAGCAAGAUUAAGCCGAUAGGUGUAGUCAUAGCGAAAGCGAGUCUGAACAGGGCGUUAAGUUUGUUGCAUUAGACCCGAAACCGGGGUGAUCUAGUUAUGGACAGGCUGAAGGUUGGGUAACACCAACUGGAGGGCCGAACACGUUAAUGCUUAAAAAUUAUGUGAUGAUCUGUGACUAGGGGUGAAAGGCCAAUCAAACCCGGAUAUAGCUGGUUCUCCGCGAUAAGUAUUUAAGUACUGCGUCGAGUGAUUACUGUUGGGGGUAGAGCACUGAAUCGACUAGGGGGAAGCAAUUCCUACCAAACCGAAACAAACUCCGAAUACUGACAAGUACAGCUCGGCAGACAGCCUAUAGGUGAUAAGGUCUAUAGGCGUGAGGGAAAGAGCCCAGAUCGCCAAUUAAGGUCCCCAAAUUAUGACUAAGUGUAAAAGGAUGUGAAGACUCCAAAACAAUCAGGAUGUUGGCUUAGAAGCAGCCAUCAUUUAAAGAAAGCGUAAUAGCUCACUGAUCUAGAUAAGAGUCUCUGCGCCUAAGAUGUAACGGGGCUGAAGUCAUAUACCGAAAUUGCGGGUUUGUAAAUCUUGGUUGAUUUACAAGCGGUAGCGGAGCGUUCUGUAAGCCGUUGAAGCCAUACUGUGAGGUGUGGUGGAGGUAUCAGAAGUGAGAAUGCUGGCAUGAGUAGCGAUAAACAAGGUGAGAGACCUUGUCGCCGAAAGUCCAAGGGUUCCUGUUCAAUGAUAAUCAGAGCAGGGUUAGUCGGUCCCUAAGGCGAGGCUGAAGAGCGUAGUCGAUGGAUAAAUAUGUUAAUAAUCAUAACCGGAUGGAAGUGACGGAUUUUGUAAGUUGUUUUUCCUUAUUGGAUUGGAAGGGCAGCGAAGAGGUCCCUGGAAAUAACUCCAUCUAUGACCGUACCCGAAACCAACACAGGUGGACGGAUAGAGUAUAUUAAGGCGCUUGAGAGAAUGGUAUUGAAGGAACUAGGCAAAUUGCAUCUGUAACUUCGGGAUAAAGAUGACUCAUUUUUAGGCAACUAUAAGUGAGUGGCACAAACUAGGGGGUUGCGACUGUUUACCAAAAACACAGGGCUAUGCAAACACGCAAGUGGAAGUAUAUGGCCUGAUGUCUGCCCGGUGCUGGAAGGUUAAUAUCAAGGGUGAAAGCUCAAGAUUGAAGCCCCAGUAAACGGCGGCCUUAACUAUAAGGGUCCUAAGGUAGCGAAAUUCCUUGUCGGGUAAGUUCCGACCUGCACGAAUGACAUAACGAUCAUCCCCGCUGUCUCCAAUACCAACUCAGCGAAAUUGAAUUCUCCGUUAAGAUGCGGAGUUCCCACAGUUAGACGGAAAGACCCCAUGAACCUUUACUAUAGCUUUAUAUUGGUAUUAGAAAAUGAUUGUGUAGAAUAGGCGGGACACUUUGAAGCGCGGCGCUAGCCGUUGUGGAGUGGAAACGUGAAAUACCGCCCUGUCGUUUUUUGAUAUCUAACCUACAUCCGUGAAUCCGGGUGGGGGACAGUGUAUGGUGGGUAGUUUGACUGGGGCGGUCGCCUCCCAAACGGUAACGGAGGCGCGCGAUGGUUGGCUUAUAUCGGUCGGAAAUCGAUAGUUAAGUGUAAUGGC
rnacentral:rRNA from 1 species